rnacentral:rRNA from 1 species
GGCAGAGGGUGCAAACGUUGCUCGGAAUUACUGGGCGUAAAGCGCGUGUAGGCGGACCUGCAAGUCGGACGUGAAAGCCCUGGGCUCAACCCAGGAACUGCAUCCGAAACUGCGGGCCUGGAGUGGUGGAGAGGGAAGCAGAAUUCCUGGUGUAGAGGUGAAAUUCGUAGAUAUCAGGAGGAACGCCAAAGGUGAAAACAGACGGCUGGGAGUGUGCUGACGCUGAGACACGAAAGCCAGGGGAGCGAACGGG